UACGUAGGUGGCAAGCGUUGUCCGGAUUUACUGGGCGUAAAGGGCGUGCAGGCGGUCUGUUAAGUGCAGGGUGAAAGCUCCCGGCUCAACUGGGAGAGGUCCUUGCAUACUGGCGGACUUGAGGGGGGUAGAGGAAAGUGGAAUUCCCGGUGUAGUGGUGAUAUGCGUAGAUAUCGGGAGGAACACCUGUGGCGAAGGCGGCUUUCUGGGCCCUACCUGACGCUGAGACGCGAAAGCGUGGGGAGCAAACCGG
rnacentral:rRNA from 1 species